AACAUCUGUUUCUCUUCUCAAUUUCCUCAUAAAUUUCCCUUUCUGAAUCGAUCAAAUUCUGCAGUCCUUUGCUUAUAAGUUGCAGUAAUGGAGAUUGAAAGCAGCGUAGGAGACGGGUUUCUGAAGGUGUUCUUAUUUGUUAUUGUGCAAGCACUAGUUUACGCCAUUCUUUCACAAUCUUCGAACGUAUUUUCAAAGACUUCGAGAUCUUACAGUUUCAAACUAUCUCGUUCGCUUAGCAUUCGCCGGUGGGCCAACGGUCUGGCUGAUAUUCCGGCCGGAGGCGAGUUAUCUCCGUCGUCAGGGGGGUUUCUCCGGUCGCUCAGCACGAAAGAGUCCAUCUCCAGUGAUCACUUGUCUUAGGCUUGUGUUUUUUAAAUUUAUAUUUUCUUAUUUGUUUGUUGGGGUAUUAAUUUGGUGUUUGAUGCUCCUUCAGAUGUUCAUUUGUUCUUUAUGAAUAUAAUCUUAUUGAAAUGGGUAUGUUGCUUUCAUUUUAUUUGUUUCUAUAUUUCUUCAAAUUGAAGUGAUUAAAUUUCUAGGAGUGCAAUAUGAGUCAUGGCAUUUUUUGUAUUCACGAGUGGAUGGCAUAUUUAGUAUUUUUCUUAUCUCUCUAGUCCAGUUCUAAAGAGAAUCGAAUCGAACUCAAAAUUUC
rnacentral:lncRNA from 1 species